rnacentral:rRNA from 1 species
UUGAUCCUGGCUCAGAAUCAACGCUGGCGGCGUGCCUCAGACAUGCAAGUCGAACGAUUAAACUUCCCUUCGGGGAAGAUAUAAAGUGGCGCACGGGUGUGUAACACGUAGGUAAUCUACCUUUGAGUGGGGAAUAACAAUCGGAAACGUUUGCUAAUACCGCAUAAUGCAGCGGCAUCUUAUGAUGACAGUUGUUAAAUGAGCAAUCCGCUUAAAGAGGAGCCUGCGGCAGAUUAGCUUGUUGGUAAGUUAAUGGCUUACCAAGGCUACGAUCUGUAACCGACCUGAGAGGGUGGUCGUUCACACUGACACUGAAUAACGGGUCAGACUCCUACGGGAGGCAGCAGUCUGGAAUUUUGGGCAAUGGGCGAAAGCCUGACCCAGCAACGCCGCGUGAAGUAUGAAGUCUUUCGGGAUGUAAACUUCGUAAGAAUAGGAAGAAUAAAUGAUGGUACUAUUUGUAAGGUCCGGCUAACUACGUGCCAGCAGCCGCGGUAAUUAGGU